AUUGGUGGUGGAUGAGGUGAUUUUCCUCCCCUUACAGAGCUUUGAGCAUCUGGAAACGCACUAUAUAAAUGCAAUCAUUUAUUAUUAUCAACACAGGAUGCGUGUGAGAGAGAGAAAGAGUCCCUGAGUGAGGUAGAGAGGUCGUAACAGGAAGAGAGAUACACAGCCAGAGAGGUAGACAAAGUUAAAAGGAAGUGUUCUUGUCUGAUGCUAGUGAAAGAUGAAUAUAACAACAGAUGAUAUACAACAAAUGUCUUCCGUCAACCCAUCUGUUCACGGGCUCAACGGAACCAGCAACAACCCACAAAGACAGUGCUGGUUAUACCCUGACCCCAUCGACACACAAGUCAAACCCUGGCUCUACCUGGUCCUGUCACUCCUGGGUUUCCUAGCCAACGGCCUGACCCUGCGUGAAUUCAGGAGGUCGGAGAGGACCCCUACCGUCAUACUGACCCUCAAACUGGUGACCUCUGACCUCUUUGCUGUGCACCAGCUUUCUGUUCCGGGUGGUUUACUACCCGAGGGGUCACAUCUGGUCUGGAGAGGAUAAGGUGUGUCAGGCCGCCAUGCUAACCAUGAUAGCAGUCUUCUACGUCAACCUCUACUGUAACAUAAUGCUGCUUCUCUGGACCAGUGUGACGCGCUAUGCACCGUGGUGCGGCCCUGCCCUGCUGUCCUCGUGCCCUUCACUAGGCCCAGAGAAUGCUGGGUACUCUGCAUCAUCACCUGGGUAACUGGGUAACGGUGGUGAGUGCCAAUGUGGUACUUCAGUUCGGACAAGGAAAAGGAAGAGGAGGACACAGCUGCUUUGACAUGUUGGAGAAUCAACACAGAGAAAGCGUUAAACUACCAACACUGCCUGGGGGUGGCCCUGUUUUUUGUGAUUCUCAUCCUUAUUCUGGUCAGCUAUGGGGAUUAGUGUUGCAUCUGCAGAA